UACAGAGGGUGCGAGCGUUAAUCGGAUUUACUGGGCGUAAAGGGCGCGUAGGCGAUCUGAAAAAGUUCUGUGUGAAAGCCCACAUGUUAACUGUGGAAGUGCACAGAAAACUGUUGGAUUUGAGUUCAGGAGAGGAAGGCAGAAUUCCCGGUGUAGCGGUGAAAUGCGUAAAGAUCGGGAGGAAUACCAGUGGCGAAGGCGGCCUUCUCGA
rnacentral:rRNA from 1 species